GGUGAGAUGGCCGAGUGGUUAAGGCGCUAGAUUUAGGCUCUAGUGGAGUUUCCGCGUGGGUUCGAAUCCCACUCUCAUCA
rnacentral:tRNA from 1 species